GCCCGCCUAGCUCAAUCGGAUAGAGCGUCAGACUCUUAUGUUCUUGUGUGCAAAGCGGGUGCAUCUGAAGGCUGCGAGUUCGACCCUCGCGGUGGGCU